rnacentral:rRNA from 1 species
UACAGAGGGUGCAAGCGUUGUUCGGAAUCAUUGGGCGUAAAGCGCACGUAGGCGGCUUGUUAAGUCGGAUGUGAAAGCCCCAGGCUCAACCUGGGAAGUGCAUUCGAAACUGGCGAGCUUGAAUGUCGGAGAGGGCAGUGGAAUUCCGAGUGUAGAGGUGAAAUUCGUAGAUAUCAGGAGGAACACCGGUGGCGAAGGCGGUUCUCUGGGCAUUACCUGACGCUGAGGAGCGAAAGCGUGGGGAGCAAACAGG